UACGUAGGGGGCAAGCGUUGUCCGGAAUCAUUGGGCGUAAAGAGCGUGUAGGCGGCCCGAUAAGUCCGCUGUGAAAGUCCAGGGCUCAACCCUGGAAUGCCAGUGGAAACUGUCGGGCUAGAGUCCGGAAGAGGCGAGUGGAAUUCCUGGUGUAGCGGUGAAAUGCGCAGAUAUCAGGAGGAACACCGGUGGCGAAGGCGGGAUCCUGGGCCAGUACUGACGCUGAGGUGCGAAAGCGUGGGGAGCAAACAGGG
rnacentral:rRNA from 1 species